AAAAAAAAAAAAAAAAAUGAGCACACAAAUAAGAUUACUAUCCUAAUAGCCAAAGCCACUUCAUAAAAUAUGAGAAUUCCAAGUAUAGAUCCUUUUGAAAAGCAAGACAUUACAUGAUAGCAUUACAUAUGAUGAUGUUAUAAUUAGUAGUACAAUGCAUCAAUCUUCUAAUGAAAAAGCACCAUUAGGAGAAAUGCUAUAAGAUUUCUCAUUGAGUAGUAUCAUCUGUCUUAUAUUUGACAUAUAUGCUUAACAUGACAAGCAUGAUGUUUACUUUAAGGCAUGCUCUAUGGCAACUGAUACUUGAAUGGCUAUUCAGUUACUUUGAUUGCCCUGCUCAUUUGAAAGUCAAGGGGCAACCAAUUUAUUUAUCACUACAAAUCACAAUAUUAUUAAAAACAAGUAAGGAAUAAAGUAAACAAUUCUAAAAAUUAGACACCUGCACUUACUGAUUCCAGAU
rnacentral:misc_RNA from 1 species